AGAGUUUGAUCCUGGCUCAGAUUGAACGCUGGCGGCGUGCCUAACACAUGCAAGUCGAUCGGUAACGCGGGGGCAACCCUGGCGACGAGAGGCGGACGGGUGAGCAAUGCUUGGGAAUCUGCCCAUCAGCGGGGGACAACCCGGGGAAACUCGGGCUAAUACCGCAUACGCUCUACGGAGGAAAGCCGGGGACCGCAAGGCCUGGCACUGACGGAUGAGCCCAAGCCGGAUUAGCUAGUUGGCGGGGUAACGGCCCACCAAGGCGACGAUCCGUAGCUGGUCUGAGAGGACGAUCAGCCACACCGGAACUGAGACACGGUCCGGACUCCUACGGGAGGCAGCAGUGGGGAAUAUUGGACAAUGGGGGAAACCCUGAUCCAGCGACGCCGCGUGGGUGAAGAAGGCCUGCGGGUUGUAAAGCCCUUUCGGUAGGGACGAAAGCUUCCGACCUAACACGUCGGAAGGUUGACUUAACCUC
rnacentral:rRNA from 1 species